UUUCAUAUUCGUUUCCUUUUAGUGCUGCUUGUUGCUGACGUUUCUGCCCAAACAUCAUGAAAUGUGGAGAAGAAAGAACACUCAGAUGUGCCCUGGAGACUUUCCUUUUAUUUUUAAACAGUUUUUUUUUUUUUUUCCAUUGGGUUUGACCAACUCUAUAUUCGACUUGAACAAAUCUCAAGGAAAGCUUCCAAUUAUGGGGAACAAGUCCUCUGAAGUGGCUAAAUUCCCACACACACAAAAGAAAAGGUAGGGUGGUGGGGGAAGAAAAACAGCCAGCAAAAGGAAAAAAA
rnacentral:lncRNA from 1 species